rnacentral:rRNA from 1 species
GCACAAGCGGUGGAGCAUGUGGUUUAAUUCGAAGCAACGCGAAGAACCUUACCAGGUCUUGACAUCCCCUGACAACCCGAGAGAUCGGGCGUUCCCCUUCGGGGGACAGGGUGACAGGUGGUGCAUGGUUGUCGUCAGCUCGUGUCGUGAGAUGUUGGGUUAAGUCCCGCAACGAGCGCAACCCUCGACCUUAGUUGCCAGCAUUCAGUUGGGCACUCUAAGGUGACUGCCGGCUAAAAGUCGGAGGAAGGUGGGAUGACGUCAAAUCAUCAUGCCCCUUAUGACCUGGGCUACACACGUGCUACAAUGGUUGGUACAACGAGUUGCGAGUCGGUGACGGCGAGCUAAUCUCUUAAAGCCAAUCUCAGUUCGGAUUGUAGGCUGCAACUCGCCUACAUGAAGUCGGAAUCGCUAGUAAUCGCGGAUCAGCACGCCGCGGUGAAUACGUUCCCGGGCCUU